rnacentral:rRNA from 1 species
AACGAACGCUGGCGGCAGGCUUAACACAUGCAAGUCGAGCGAAGACUUCGGUCUUAGCGGCGGACGGGUGAGUAACGCGUGGGAACGUGCCCUUCUCUAAGGAAUAGCCACUGGAAACGGUGAGUAAUACCUUAUACGCCCUUCGGGGGAAAGAUUUAUCGGAGAAGGAUCGGCCCGCGUUAGAUUAGGUAGUUGGUGGGGUAACGGCCUACCAAGCCUACGAUCUAUAGCUGGUUUGAGAGGAUGAUCAGCCACACUGGGACUGAGACACGGCCCAGACUCCUACGGGAGGCAGCAGUGGGGAAUCUUAGACAAUGGGGGAAACCCUGAUCUAGCCAUGCCGCGUGAGUGACGAAGGCCCUAGGGUCGUAAAGCUCUUUCGCUGGGGAAGAUAAUGACUGUACCCAGUAAGAACCCCGG